CUCACCGACUUUCCUAUUUCUCUAUUCAUCUGAGAAGGAAAAAGAGUCAGAGAAAUAAGGAUAGAGAAACUUAGAGAGAGAAAAGAUGUUUUCCUUCCACGCCUAGAUCGGCGAUGGGCCUUCGAUUCUUCUCAUCGUUUCCAUUGCUCUGGUUUCGGCGCCGCAGUUGUUAAGGUUAUCGUUGAGUCUUGGGAUGUGAAAGAUGAUUUUUCGAUCGUCACAUUUAUCAAGUUCGAUCUCGUUUUUCUCUCUCGAUUUAGUUUCAAAUUUUUGGGGUUUUAAUGUUUGAUUGUCGUGGGUUUUUGCAUAUAUGUUCCUGUUGUUUUUGAAUUCUUUGCGUUGAAUCUUUGUGGGUGUGAAAGGUGUCGAAGGUUACCAUUGAGUCUUGGGAUGUGAAAGGUGAGCUUAAAACCACCGAUCAUCCCUUAGACGAUGGUUAUGGGCUUCAAUUCUUCUCAGCGUUUCCGGUUUCAGCGCUGCGGUUGCUAAGUUAAGUGAAUAAACUCAGGUUUAUCUUCAAUCAUGGUGUCUGAUUAAACCAUCAAUGCUUCUAUUCUAAUGCUUUCAAGGAUUUCGGCAAGAAAAAACGGGCGAAUAGGUUGGCGAAAUUGAAGCAGUGUAACCUUGAUGGUCGUGUAUUAUUAUUAAUUUAUAUUUAGCAAGGAGAGGGCUUCUGUCUUCUUCAAAUCUCAAUUUCCCAAUCAAUAAGUACAAUCUAUGCUAUAUAUUUGGUACUCUGGGUCCCGGGUUUCAUGUCAAGUGAGUCUCGGGUUUGAGAUAAGGGCAUAAAAAGCUGUUGCCUCCUAUCCUUCACCCACCUCUUUCUUAUCCUCCACCACACCAACCUUUCCCCUGCUCCCUCACUCAACCAACCACCAGCUCAAACUCCAACCCAAUUAACGGUCACAGCCACGCACCUGGCAGCAACCUACCACCAAAAUCACCACAGUGCCACCACCAUUUCACACCAACCCAUUAGCCCCCGAAAACACCACUCACCAGCCACCACCAGCGAACAGCCACCACCACCUCCAAUCACCAAUCACCCCCGUAACAACCACCCAACUUCCUCAUCACAACCACGCACAUCACCACCAGCACCCACAAACCGCAACAACAACAACCUCCUCCUAUAACCAACUCCCCUACUACCACCAACCAAACCAGCCUCAACCGCCACCACAACCGCACCUUCCCCUGCUCAGUUUGCAGCAGCACCCCAACACACAAAACCACCUCACGCACAUAACCAGCUCCUACCACCGUCAACAGCCGCAUCACCAAUUUACAGCAACAAAUCAGCCACCAAUUGCAACCCCAAAUUGCCCAAGUAACAACCCCAAUUUAGAGUAAAUCACAAAUUGAUCGGGUUCGGGCAAACCAUUAAGGAGUUCGAUCGAAGUGCAAAAAAGUGGUAAAACAGUCAGGAACUUUUGAAGUUGUCUAACUUGAAUAGGUUUGGUCGAACAUACCCAUGAUUCGACCGAACCAACCCCGUAGUUCGGUCGAACCUACCCGAGGUUUGAUCGAACCAUUUUACGAGCAACACACGGGAUUUUAAUGAAGAUCAACCGGUCUAAUAAUGAUGAUGGUGAUGCAAUUGGUGAUGAUAGCCAUUGAUUUGGAGCAUUGAUUAUGAUCGGAUGGUGGUGAUUCAAUGAUAAUGGUUGACGAUGGUGGUAUGAUGAUAACAAAUCAGAGCAGCCAUAGAGAUCGAAGAAAAGGAAUGAAGUCUGGUUGUUUUGUGGGGCGUUUGGGUUUUUAUUAUUUUCUUUUCUUUUUAUUUUUAUUUCCUUUUUCCUUUCUCUUUUCUUAUUUCUUUUUAAUUCCUUUUCUUUCUUUAUUUAUUUCCUUCUUUUAUUUUUCUAUUUUUCCUAGCUUUGUAUAAAUACCCAUUUUUAGGGAAGGAAAAACAAUUACCAUUUAUUCUAUUCUCUAAUUAGUUUUUAGGAGAGAUUCUCUCUCUAGGUUUAGGUUAGGAUUAGGGCAGUUUAGAGAGAGAAAGUAAGGGUUUCACCAUUGU